UGCAAGUCGAGGGGCAGCACGGUAGCAAUACUGGUGGCGACCGGCGCACGGGUGCGUAACACGUAUACAAUCUGCCUUUAACAGGGGGAUAGCCCGGAGAAAUCCGGAUUAGUACCCCAUAAUACAAGAGAUGGCAUCAUUUUUUGUUAAAAGCUACGGCGGUUAAAGAUGAGUAUGCGUCUGAUUAGCUAGUUGGAGAGGUAACGGCUCCCCAAGGCGACGAUCAGUAGGGGAUCUGAGAGGAUUAACCCCCACACGGAUACUGAGACACGGAUCCGACUCCUACGGGAGGCAGCAGUAAGGAAUAUUGGACAAUGCCCGCAAGGGUGAUCCAGCCAUGCCGCGUGCAGGAAGACGGCCCUAUGGGUUGUAAACUGCUUUUACACCGGAGAAAACCUCCCCUCGUGAGGGGAGCUGAUAGUAUGGUGAGAAUAAGCAUCGGCUAACUUCGUGCCAGCAGCCGCGGUAAGACGAAGGAUGCAAGCGUUAUCCGGAUUCAUUGGGUUUAAAGGGAGCGUAGGCGGCCUUAUAAGUCAGUGGUGAAAUCUCGCAGCUUAACUGCGAAAUUGCCAUUGAUACUGUAGGGCUUGAGUACAGAUGCCGUUGGCGGAAUAUGACAUGUAGUGGUGAAAUACAUAGAGAUGUCAUAGAACACCGAUUGCGAAGGCAGCUGACGAAACUGUAACUGACGCUGAGGCUCGAAAGUGCGGGGAUCAAACAGGAUUAGAUACCCUGGUAGUCCGCACUGUAAACGAUGAUUACUCGCUGCUGGGAGGUAACUUUCAGUGGCUUAGCGAAAGCGAUAAGUAAUCCACCUGGGGAGUACGCCGGCAACGGUGAAACUCAAAGGAAUUGACGGGGGCCCGCACAAGCGGAGGAGCAUGUGGUUUAAUUCGAUGAUACGCGAGGAACCUUACCAGGGCUUGAAAGUUAGUGACCGUCUCUGAAAGGAGACUUUCCGCAAGGACACGAAACUAGGUGCUGCAUGGCUGUCGUCAGCUCGUGCCG
rnacentral:rRNA from 1 species